GACGAACGCUGGCGGCGUGCUUAACACAUGCAAGUCGAGCGGUAAGGCCCUUUCGGGGUACGACGAGCGGCGAACGGGUGAGUAACACGUGGGUGACCUGCCCUUACGCUCUGGGAUAAGCCUGGGAAACGUGGGUCGUAAUACCGGAUAUGACUCCAUGACGCAUGUUGUGGGGUGGAAAGCCUUGUGCGGCUAGGGAUGGGCCCGCGGCCUAUCAGCUUGUUGGUGGGGUGAUGGCCUACCAAGGCGACGACGGGUAGCCGGCCUGAGAGGGCGACCGGCCACACUGGGACUGAGACACGGCCCAGACUCCUACGGGAGGCAGCAGUGGGGAAUCUUGCGCAAUGGGCGAAAGCCUGACGCAGCGACGCCGCGUGGGGA
rnacentral:rRNA from 1 species